rnacentral:tRNA from 1 species
GGGGAUUUAGCUCAAUGGUAGAGCGCUUGCCUAGCAAGCGCAAGGUCCUGGGUUCGGUCCCCAGCUCCG